rnacentral:tRNA from 3 species
GGAGACGUGACCGAGAGGCCGAAGGUGCUCCCCUGCUAAGGGAGUAUGGGGUGAUGAGCUCCAUCAAGGGUUCGAAUCCCUUCGUCUCCGCCA